rnacentral:piRNA from 1 species
UGACUGCCACAGAGUGCAGUGCCGGCCUA